GACGAACGCUGGCGGCGUGCUUAACACAUGCAAGUCGAACGGAAAGGCCCUGCUUUUGUGGGGUGCUAGAGUGGCGAACGGGUGAGUAACACGUGAGUAACCUGCCCUGGACUUUGGGAUAACUUCAGGAAACUGGGGCUAAUACCGGAUAGGAGCUCCUGCUGCAUGGGGGGGGUUGGAAAGUUUCGGCGGUUGGGGAUGGACUCGCGGCUUACCAGCUUGUUGGUGGGGUAGUGGCCUACCAAGGCAUUGACGGAUAGCCGGCCUGAGAGGGUGACCGGCCACAUUGGGACUGCGAGACGCACCAGACUCCAACGGUAGGCAGUAGUCGGGAAUAUUGCACAAUGGGCGGACGCCUGAUGCAGCAACGCCGCGUGCGUGAUGACGGCCUUCGGGUUGUAAACCGCUUUCGCCUGUGACGAAGCGUGAGUGACGGUAAUGGGUAAAGAAGCACCGGCUAACUACGUG
rnacentral:rRNA from 1 species